rnacentral:rRNA from 1 species
GUCUACGGCCAUGCCACCCUGAUCUCGGAAGCUAAGCAAGGUUGGGCCUGGUUAGUACUUGGAUGGGAGACCACCUAGGAAGACCAGGUGCUGUAGGCG